ACGGGACUCUUCGGAGUUCAGUGGCGGACGGGUGAGUAACGCGUGAGAAUCUGCCUUCAGGACUGGGACAACCACUGGAAACGGUGGCUAAUACCGGAUGUGCCGCAACGUAAAAGAGGAAACUCGCCUGAAGAGGAGCUCGCGUCUGAUUAGCUAGUUGGUAGGGUAAAAGCCUACCAAGGCAUCGAUCAGUAGCUGGUCUGAGAGGAUGACCAGCCACACUGGGACUGAGACACGGCCCAGACUCCUACGGGAGGCAGCAGUGGGGAAUUUUCCGCAAUGGGCGAAAGCCUGACGGAGCAAGACCGCGUGAGGGAGGAAGGCUCUUGGGUUGUAAACCUCUUUUCUCAGGGAAGAACAAAAUGACAGUACCUGAGGAAUCAGCCUCGGCUAACUCCGUGCCAGCAGCCGCGGUAAUACGGAGGAGGCAAGCGUUAUCCGGAAUUAUUGGGCGUAAAGCGUCCGCAGGUGGCACUUCAAGUCUGUCGUCAAAGACUGGGGCUUAACCCUGGAAAGGCGGUGGAAACUGAAGCGCUAGAGUGUGGUAGGGGUAGAGGGAAUUCCCGGUGUAGCGGUGAAAUGCGUAGAGAUCGGGAAGAACAUCGGUGGCGAAAGCGCUCUACUGGACCACAACUGACACUCAGGGACGAAAGCUAGGGGAGCGAAUGGGAUUAGAUACCCCAGUAGUCCUAGCCGUAAACGAUGGAUACUAG
rnacentral:rRNA from 1 species